GGUAUAGCUCAGUUGGUUAGAGCGCAUGCUUCACAUGCAUGAGGUCGUAGGUUCGAGUCCCACUGUCCC
rnacentral:tRNA from 1 species